UUAAUAUACCAAAAGGGAAUAAUCCUUUGUUCGGUGUACAAGUAAGAUUAGAUUGAAAAAUUAAGUGUAUCUAUAAAUACACCUACUUACUUGGAAAAGAGCCAUUUAGACGGCUCUUUUUUUAUGGUAAA
rnacentral:sRNA from 12 species